rnacentral:snoRNA from 1 species
UCGAGCGAUGAACGACUAACCACGUCUUUUUUUCACAUCCGGCGAUGAUUCUAUGAAUAUGUGCCAGGAUAAAUAUCAUGCAUCACCAUCUGACC